rnacentral:rRNA from 1 species
AUUGAACGCUGGCGGCAGGCCUAACACAUGCAAGUCGAGCGAGCGGCGGACGGGUGAGUAAUGUAUGGGGACUGCCCGAUAGAGGGGGAUAACUACUGGAAACGGUGGCUAAUACCGCAUACUAUCGGAUAACCCAGAUGGGAUUAGCUAGUAGGUGGGGUAACGGCUCACCUAGGCGACGAUCUCUAGCGGGUCUGAGAGGAGGAUCAGCCACACGGGAACUGAGACACGUCCCAGACUCCUACGGAGGCAGCAGUGGGGAAUAUUGCACAAUGGGCGCAAGCCUGAUGCAGCCAGGCCGAGUGUAUGAAGAAGGCCUUAGGGUUGUAAAGUACUUUCAGCGGGGAGGCGUUACCCGCAGAAGAAGCACCGGCUAACUCCGUGCCAGCAGCCGCGGUAAUAC